rfam:Verticillium albo-atrum VaMs.102 supercont1.1 genomic scaffold, whole genome shotgun sequence.
GGGCGAUUGGUUUAGUGGUAUAACGUCUGCUUAGCAUCCGACGAGGUCUUCUGAUCCUGGAUACUUGCUUGCUGAAGGUCGCGCGUUCGAUUCGCGCAUUGUCCA